CCUACGGGAGGCAGCAGUAGGGAAUCUUCCACAAUGGGCGAAAGCCUGAUGGAGCAACGCCGCGUGGGUGAAGAAGGUCUUCGGAUCUUUAAACCUUGUUGUUAGAGAAGAAAGUGCGUGAGAGUAACUGUUCACGUUUCGACGGUAUCUAACCAGACAGCUACGGCUAAAUACGUGCCAGCAGCCGCGGGAAUACGUAGGUGGUAAGCGUUAUCCGGAUUUAUUGGGCGUUAAGGGAACGCAGGCGGUCUUUUAAGUUUAAUGUGAAAGUCUUCGGCUUAACCGGAAUAGUGCAUUGGAAACUGGGGGACUUGAGUGGAGAAGAGGAGAGUGGAACUCGAUGUGUAGCGGUGAAAUGCGUAGAUAUAUGGAAGAACACCAGUGGCGAAGGCGGCUCUCUGGUCUGUAACUGACGCUGAGGUUCGAAAGCGUGGGUAGCAAACAGGAUUAGAUACCCCGGUAGUC
rnacentral:rRNA from 1 species